GUUACAGGUCGGUGCGCUAAC
rnacentral:miRNA from 1 species